rnacentral:tRNA from 1 species
GGACAGAUGGCCGAGCUGGUUAUGGCGCCAGGUUAAGGUUACCUUGACAUCAUUUCCUGGUCACGAAAGUGGCGUGGGUUCGAGUCCCACUCUGUUCA